rnacentral:rRNA from 1 species
AAUGAACGCUGGCGGCGUGCGUAACACAUGCAAGUCGAACGAGAAAUUCCGGGCUUGCUCGGGAGAGUAAAGUGGCGAACGGGUGAGUAACGCGUGGGUAACCUGCCCUUGAAUCUGGAAUAACUUCGCGAAAGCGAGGCUAAUACCGGAUAUUGUCCCAGGGACCGUGGUCCUUGUGAUGAAAGAUGACCUCUUCACGAAAGCUGUCGUUCAGGGAGGGGCCCGCGUACCAUUAGCUAGUUGGUAGGGUAAUGGCCUACCAAGGCGAUGAUGGUUAGCUGGUCUGAGAGGAUGACCAGCCACACUGGCACUGAAACACGGGCCAGACUCCUACGGGAGGCAGCAGUGAGGAAUUUUGCGCAAUAGGGGAAACCCUGACGCAGCAACGCCGCGUGAGUGAAGAAGGCCCUCGGGUCGUAAAGCUCUGUCAAGUGGGAAAAAAGCUUACUGGUGAACAGCCAGGAAGACUGAUGGUACCAUUGAAGGAAGCACCGGUUAACUCCGUGCCAGCCGCCGCAGUAACAC